UACGGGGGGGGUAAGCGUUGUUCGGAAUUACUGGGCGUAAAGGGCUCGUAGGCGGCCAACUAAGUCAGACGUGAAAUCCCUCGGCUUAACCGGGGAACUGCGUCUGAUACUGGAUGGCUUGAGUUCGGGAGAGGGAUGCGGAAUUCCAGGUGUAGCGGUGAAAUGCGCAGAUAUCAGGAAGAACACCAAUGGCGAAAGCAGCUUCUGGGACGGUACUGACGCUGAGACGCGAAAGCGUGGGGAGCGAACAGG
rnacentral:rRNA from 1 species